UCGGCAGGUUGUUUCAUCGUUCGCGAUUUCGUGUUGCGGAAGGAAAGUCGGGACAACACAGAGCACCUUGCUUCCUAACGGGAAGGUCGCGUCGUAAGGCGCGAACAGCCAGUGCCACAGAAAAUAACCGCCAGCCUCAGGCUGGUAAGGGUGAAAACGCGGGGUAAGAGCCCACGCCGGUGGUUGGCGACAGCCACCGGGGGUAAACCUCAGGGGUUGCAAGAUCAAAUACACCGACAAUUUUGCCUCGUGCAAAAUAAGGGCGGCUCGUCCGAAGUCGGAGGGUAGAUUGCUGGAGCCUGAUGGUGACAUCAGGUCGAGAUAAAUGAUGAAAGUCGGUGACCGGCGCAAGCUGCCACCGAAACAGAAUCCCGCUUACAGGCCUGCCGGGCUU
rfam:Bacteroidetes bacterium GWF2_41_31 gwf2_scaffold_4411, whole genome shotgun sequence.